rnacentral:lncRNA from 13 species
AUCACACCUUCCUCCACUCAGUUGAGCAGCGGUGCGGUGAAUCAACAGUGAUAACUAUGAUACAAUUAAACUCAGUGUGCAGAUUGAUUCUGUCUACUGGACUUCACAGAGAAACAGAGAUCAAACAUCACAACUAAAAAAACAACAAGGACAUUCUAUUGAAGCACCAUACAGUGUAGUGCCUGUUGCUGUCCUCGAAGGACGAUGCUACAGUCAUCCAGAUUCCAGGUUUUCAACACCAGUUCGCACCCAGUUACCAGCCACCCAGUUACCGGCCACCAACUUGAAGACUGUCUGUUGUGCUGAUGUCCCAGAUCAUCUUACAGUGACGUGCUUCAGGGAACCACCCAGGUAAGUGUUUCUUGUCAUGAAUCUUGUUCUGGAGAAGCUCUGCAGUGGUCACUAGUUUGCGCAGCCACAAAGUAAUACAAACUCAUUUUAAAUCUAACCUAAACCCUAAUUUAACCCCACUGCUAAUCCUAAUUCCUAACCCUAACCUUAAAUUAAGACCGAAAAUCACUUUUUUGUCUUGAAUUUGUAUAACAUAGCCAAUUCUUUCUUUGUGGCUGGCCUAUCUAGCUGGAAUCGCUUAGUU